rnacentral:rRNA from 1 species
UACCGGUAAACUGCGAAUGGCUCGGUAAAUCAGUUAUAGUUUAUUUGAUAGUGCAACCUACUCGGAUAACCGUAGUAACACUAGAGCUAAUACGUGCGUAAAUCCCGACUUUUGGAAGGGACGUAUUUAUUAGAUUUAUGGCCAGCCGGGCUUGCCCGACCAGCGGUGAAUCAUGGUAACUUGACGGAUUGCAUGGCCUCCGUGCCGGCGACGUGUCAUUCAAGUUUCUGCCCCAUCAUGUGUCGACUGUAGUGUAUUGGACUACAGUGCCUAUAACGGGUAGCGGAGGAUUAGGGUUCGAUUCCGGAGAGGGAGCCUGAGAAACGGCUACCACAUCCAAGGAAGGCAGCAGGCGCGCAAAUUACCCAAUCCCAAUUCAGGGAGGUAGUGACAAGAAAUAGCAAUGCUGGGCUUCUUGCUCU